AUUGAACGCUGGCGGCAGGCCUAACACAUGCAAGUCGAACGAGUGGCGGAAGGGUGAUUAAUGGCUGUGAAACUGCCAGAGGGAGGGAGAUAACUACUGGAAGAGGUAGAUAAUAACACAUACCAUCGGAUGUUCACAGAUUGGAUUAGCUGGUGGGUGGGGGGACGGCUGACACAGGCGACGAUCCCUAGCUGGUCUGAGAGGAUGACCAGGCACACUGGAACUGAGACACGGUCCAGACUCCUACGGGAGGCAGCAGGGGGGAAUAUUGCACAAUGGGCGAAAGCCUGAUGCAGCCAUGCCGCGUGUAUGAAGAAGGCCUUCGGGUUGUAAAGUACUUUAAGCGAGGAGGCGUUACUCGCAGAAGAAGCACCGGCUAACUCCGGGCCAGCAGCCGCGGUAAUUC
rnacentral:rRNA from 1 species